AGAGUUUGAUCCUGGCUCAGAACGAACGCUGGCGGCAGGCCUAACACAUGCAAGUCGAGCGCCCCGCAAGGGGAGCGGCGGACGGGUGAGUAACGCGUGGGAAUUUUCCUCAAGGUACGGAACAACUCAGGGAAACUUGGGCUAAUACCGUAUGAUGUCUAGCGACCAAAGAUUUAUCGCCUUGGGAUAAGCCCGCGUCAGAUUAGGUAGUUGGUGGGGUAACGGCCUACCAAGCCUGCGAUCUGUAGCUGGUCUGAGAGGACGAUCAGCCACACUGGGACUGAGACACGGCCCAGACUCCUACGGGAGGCAGCAGUGGGGAAUCUUGCGCAAUGGGCGAAAGCCUGACGCAGCCAUGCCGCGUGAAUGAUGAAGGUCUUAGGAUUGUAAAGUUCUUUCGCCCGUGACGAUGAUGACGGUAACGGGAGAAGAAGCCCCGGCUAACUUCGUGCCAGCAGCCGCGGUAAUACGAAGGGGGCUAGCGUUGUUCGGAAUUACUGGGCGUAAAGCGCGCGUAGGCGGUUUUGCAAGCCAGAGGUGAAAUGCCUGAGCUCAACUUAGGAAUUGCCUUUGGGACUGCGAGGCUUCAAGGACUGGAGAGGUGAGUGGAAUUCCCAGUGUAGAGGUGAAAUUCGUAGAUAUUGGGAAGAACACCGGUGGCGAAGGCGGCUCACUGGCCAGUUUCUGACGCUGUAGCGCGAAAGCGUGGGGAUCAAACAGGAUUAGAUACCCUGGUAGUCCACGCUGUAAACGAUGAGUGCUAGGCGUCGGCACGCUUGCGUGUCGGUGCCGCAGCUAAC
rnacentral:rRNA from 1 species